rnacentral:lncRNA from 1 species
GUCUAUGGCAGGCAGGGUGGCUGCCUUAGCUGCCGGAGGUUCCGCACUCUCUAAGGCCCCGGGUGAAGCCCCACCUCUGCUGCGCGCAGCCUGCGGUGCGGGUCAUGGCGCGGCUACCGAAGCUGGCAGUCUUUGAUUUGGGUGAGGGACGGGAAGGGGAGAAUUUCGUAAGGUGCUCUCCUUUUCCACAUCCCUAACAGCAGCUCCCGAAUCCCUGCAUCUCCCGCCCCAGGCUGAACCUUCCCUCUCCUUCCUCUCGCAGAUUACACUCUCUGGCCUUUCUGGGUCGACACGCACGUAGACCCUCCGUUCCAUAAGAGCAGGUGAGGUAGGGACAGGGAAGACUGGGGGCGAGAUAGGACCCAGCCAGGGCUGAGCGCACUCUUGCCCUCUCCAGUGAUGGAACUGUACGAGAUAGGCGGGGCCAAGACGUCCGACUGUACCCAGAGGUGCCUGAGGUCCUAAAACGAUUGCAGAGCCUUGGGGUGCCCGGUGCGGCUGCUUCAAGGACAAGUGAGAUAGAAGGGGCCAACCAGCUACUGGAGCUCUUUGACCUCUUCAGGUACUUUGUUCAUCGGGAAAUCUAUCCAGGCAGCAAGAUCACACACUUUGAGAGGUAUGCGGAGAUAAGGGAGGAGCAGGGUGAGAAAGUAUCAGAGAGGCCUGGGAAACCAAGAUACUAGCUUGGUUACUCCUGCCCUGUCUUGAAUAGGUUGCA